rnacentral:rRNA from 1 species
UACGUAGGGUGCGAGCGUUAAUCGGAAUUACUGGGCGUAAAGCGUGCGCAGGCGGUUCGACAAGUCCGAUGUGAAAGCCCCGGGCUCAACCUGGGAAUGGCAUUGGAAACUGGCGAGCUUGAGUGUGGUAGAGGGGGGUGGAAUUCCACGUGUAGCAGUGAAAUGCGUAGAGAUGUGGAGGAACACCAAUGGCGAAGGCAGCCCCCUGGGUCGAUACUGACGCUCAUGCACGAAAGCGUGGGUAGCAAACAGG